rnacentral:misc_RNA from 1 species
UUAAGUUCAGCGGGUAUCCCUACCUGAUCCGAGGUCAACCAUAGAAGGGGGUUCUGGCAGGCUACCGCCUAGCCCCAGAGCGAGAGCUGUACUACGCUUGGAGCCAGACGCUGCCGCCACUGUCUUUAGGGCCGGCCGCGAGCGGCGAGGCCCAACAACAAGCCGGGCUUGAGGGUUGAUAAUGACGCUCGGACAGGCAU